UCCUUCGGGAGCACCGGCGGACUGCUCAGUAACACGUGGACAACCUACCCUCGGGUGGGGGAUAACCUCGGGAAACUGAGGCUAAUACCCCAUAGGCCUCGGAUACUGGAAGGUUCCGAGACCGAAAGCUCCGGCGCCCGAGGAUGGGUCUGCGGCCUAUCAGGUAGUUGGUGGCGUAAAGGACCACCAAGCCUACGACGGGUACGGGCCCUGAGAGGGGGAGCCCGGAGAUGGACUCUGAGACACGAGUCCAGGCCCUACGGGGCGCAGCAGGCGCGAAACCUUCGCAAUGCGCGAAAGCGCGACGAGGGGAGCCCGAGUGCCCUUCCUUUCGGGAGGGCUUUUCUGGAGCCUAAAAAGCUCCAGGAAUAAGGGCUGGGCAAGACGGGUGCCAGCCGCCGCGGUAAUACCCGCAGCUCGAGUGGUGGCCACUAUUAUUGAGCCUAAAGCGUCCGUAGCCGGACCCGUAAAUCCCUGGGUAAAUCCUGGCGCUCAACGUCAGGGAUUCCGGGGAGACUGCGGGUCUUGGGACCGGGAGAGGCCGGAGGUACUCCCGGGGUAGGGGUAAAAUCCUGUAAUCCCGGGGGGACCACCUGUGGCGAAAGCGUCCGGCUUGAACGGCUCCGACGGUGAGGGACGA
rnacentral:rRNA from 1 species